rnacentral:rRNA from 1 species
CCUACGGGUGGCAGCAGUGAGGAAUAUUGGUCAAUGGGCGAGAGCCUGAACCAGCCAAGUCGCGUGAGGGAGUACUGCCCUAUGGGUUGUAAACCUCUUUUGUCGGGGAGCAAAAGCCGGACGUGUCCGGCUGUGAGAGUACCCGAAGAAAAAGCAUCGGCUAACUCCGUGCCAGCAGCCGCGGUAAUUCGGAGGGUGCGAGCGUUAUCCGGAGUUAUUGGGUUUAAAGGGGGCGCAGGCGGAUUUUUAAGUCAGCGGUAAAAUCGUGGGGCUCAACCCCAUCCAGCCGUUGAAACUGGGGAUCUAGAGUGUGCGAGAGGUAUGCGGAAUGCGUGGUGUAGCGGUGAAAUGCAUAGAUAUCACGCAGAACCCCGAUUGCGAAGGCAGCAUACCGGUGCACAACUGACGCUCAGGCACGAAAGCGUGGGUAUCGAACAGGAUUAGAUACCCCUGUAGUC